CAGGGAGACAACAAAAUGUUUAAUAUUAAUUUUGUCACCUUAGGUCGAUCGGUAUCUCGCAUUCUUAAUUUAUUUAAGGAUAUUAUUUCCUAAGUUUUUUCUAGGUCACACCCCAUUAUUUUCCUGGGCCAUUAGCUCAGGUGGUUAGAGCGCACCCCUGAUAAGGGUGAGGUCCCUGGUUCAAGUCCAGGAUGGCCCAUAUCUCUAUCUUUAUGUUGGGGGUAUAGCUCAGUUGGUAGAGCGCCUGCUUUGCAAGCAGGAUGUCAGCGGUUCGAGUCCGCUUACCUCCACUGAUCACCUCUUCCAUGAUUUGUAGAAGGGAAAUUUUUGAGUUGUGAUCAAAUUCUGAACGAAUCUAGCUUCCUAAUAAUUUUAUUAAGAUGCUGGACUCAUUGAAUUAAUUUCAUUGUUUUCAGAGAACCUUGACAACUGCAUAGAUUAUUUUAAAGACAAUAAGCAUCUUUAAUGAUGCAGAUUUAUUAUUUGUGCGAAUGCAUUAAUAACAAUUCUAUUAAGCUGAUGCUUCA
rnacentral:tRNA from 1 species